GGCCUACGGGGGGCAGCAGUGGGGAAUAUUGCUCAAUGGGGGAAACCCUGAAGCAGUAACGCCGCGUGGAGGAUGAAGGUUUUCGGAUUGUAAACUCCUUUUGUUAGAGAAGAUAAUGACGGUAUCUAACGAAUAAGCACCAGCUAACUCCUUGCCAGCAGCCGCGGUAAUACGGAGGGUGCAAGCGUUACUCGGAAUCACUGGGCGUAAAGAGCGCGUAGUCGGGAUAGCAAGUCAGAUGUGAAAUCCUAUGGCUUAACCAUAGAGAUGCAUUUGAAACUGUUAUUCUAGAGUAUGGGAGAGGG
rnacentral:rRNA from 1 species